rnacentral:sRNA from 1 species
AUCGAUGCCUCAGAGGCCAUUGGGCUGUGGGUCCUCUCGAGCGUUGCUGGGAAUCAUUAUGCUGGAGAAAAUGGCAAAUGUGGGUUCAAAAUCAAGUCCAAGUCACCGCUACCGCCUCCGUGAUUAUUUUGACCGCCAGGCCAGUGGAAAAAACCAUCACAACGAAGCUUAUCCAAAAUAGUUCCUCCGGAUAUCUGGAUCAUACUCUCGGCAUUGUGCAAUCCUAGGAAAUAAAAUCACUUUUGACACCUUUCGAGUUUUCGAUUUGACUUACAAACUACCUUGUCAUUGCUGAAGAUUUUUCUUCUUUUUUCAUUUCUCGUAGUAUUCUAUGCUUCGAAAUAUCACGUCAUAUGGCUCACCUUUGCCGCAUUGGACAGCAUAGCUAUGACACUUCCUUGCUUUCCGUUUUCCGCUUUCAAAAUGCGGCAUGAUAUUGAACGGUGACGACUCAUAUAGAAAGCAGAGGAUUUGGGUUCGAGGGUGCGGAAGGACCUUGAGGAUAGUCUCCUAUCCUGGAUCGUGGUGCUGGGGCCUGGGAAAUGUCUAUCUCAUUUUUUGUCCCUAUCUAUGCAAUGUUUCUGUAUCACAAAGGGCCUUGAAGAAUUUUCGAAUGCCUAUUCAAACAUCCUAGCUUUUUUUUCUUUUCUUUUCCCUCCUAUUAUUGGUCGUUAUCACUGUGAAAAGAAAAGCAUUGAGUUGGGUGUCCAUUGGAUCCGCCAAAAAUUCCAAAAGUGCCAAAUCCUUGAAUCCAUGUAACCUACAAAAGCAAACCAAAUAAAAAUAAAUCAACACCUAACUUGUAGCUAUUAAAUCGGCGGACUUGACAUGAAAAAUCAUGUCAUUGUGCAGACUCUCGGCCGGUGUCCCCUACACUUCUUCUUAACCAUUAAAAUUUCCCCAAAGUGAUAUUCUCUAUCAAUUCCACAGCUCCUGGGGUCAUAGCCCAUGCGGGGUAGAUAUACUUCAGCAUCGACUGCACCUCUGAUAGGGUACCAGGCGAAUAGUAAGCUGGCAGCUCAUGCAGAUGCUUCUCCGGUGCUAGCAGAGCUUCCCAAAAGUACUUGUUUGAGCUGUGGAGGGCCUUGUAGAGUUUCCUGACCUGAUCUUGCAGCAAGCCAAUCGCCGCCGUAUGAUCCCCGCGCUUUAAAAUGUCCUCAUUCUUCGCAAUUACCGAGCUGCGCAGGCGCGGGCCCUCAGCAGGUGUGGGCCGUGUGGCGGAGUCGACAGCUGAGCUUUGCAAGUCCAUCAGAUCCAAAAGCAGCCUGGUCUUAACCAGAAGCACGCCCGCUCCAAAGCAGAGAGAAAGGAAACGAUGACACACGUAAUCUGCGUCUUCAAAGACAUCUGCGUCAUGAACAUCCAGGAACGGCCCCUCUAUGUCGCCCCAGUUGUAAUCGCCCUGCUGGCCUGUCGUCUCAUACCAUUUGACGAAAUCGUAGCACUCCUGAUCCCUGCCCAGUUGCAACAGAGCGCCCGGCACCGCGACGCGAAUACCGACAUUAUCCCCACGGCAGAGACGCAGCAUAUCUCUCCCGUGUUCCAAUUGCAUCUGCACCGACUCCCGGCUCUCAACAGCCAUUAACGCGUGGAUAAGCGCGCUGCGCGCACGCAUGUACGGGCGCGUCUCGAUGACCCCCCAAAAGUGCCCGACACAGGUGAUAAAAGCGUCGCCCGCGAAAAGCACGUCUGCUGGCAUAUCGCGCAGUUUCUGCUCCUCGGCCGCGAGCGCAUCGCGCGAUUUGCGCACUUGGCUGCAGGAUUUCUUGUGGGCGUUGAGGUGUUCAGCCUGGUGCUCACGGCUGCAGUAGUAGACGACUUGGCAACGGGAGCAGCGCAGGGUGUUCCCUUGCGUUUUGCAGAGCCCACAUGUUUUUUCUGUCAGUUGGAGCAGCGCAUGAGUGCCUGUCGUCUCCAUUAUGGUGCUUCACCGGAACUUUGCUGGGGUCCUCUGUGCAAAUUAGCGGUUAUCUAGGAUUGAUGAAGAUACUCGGAAACAUGAAAGUCAACGUAACUACCUAGGCACAGCGUAUAGGGAGCACAGGAAAGACCCGUUAAAACCACCGUUUAUCCCAGAUAAAAACCCCCUUUCCGGCAAAUUGCACAGGUUAGUGGGGUGAAGCAGCAUGCCGUAUUUUUGCACCAGCACCAGACGUACCAUUCAAUGCGCGUCCGGUUGAAGAUUGCUGGGUUAGGUUAUUGAGAAAGGUGCACCUCACGUCCAAGCUUAAACAUCAAUUUGCAAGCUGCCUGUUUUAAAAAUAUUUAUUUGGGAAGUUGAAUGAAUCCUGAGGUCAAGACUGUGGAAGCCAGCCAAAAUGAGGGGGUCGCAUCGGGUUUACAAGGGCAUUCAUUGGUUAAGCCAAGUAUAAGUCCUUGCUGUGCUGGAAAUUGAGAUGGAAAUCUCAAUAUUGAACUCAUAAUUGACGAUGUAAAAUGCUGACCAUAUAAAUUCUAGUUACUACUUGCAAGGACUUUUCUUCAAGGGCAAGGAUCAAUUCUUUCUCCCGUCUCCAUUCGCCGACUAUAUGUUAGAAUUGUUCUGUACUUCUUCAGUUGUUUGUUUGCAAAUCUACCUGUUUUGCGUCCGCCUUCCUUUUCAAAAACUAUAAGAACCGAGCUUAGUCCUUACAGUUGUUGCCCUAUCUGUUUAUUUAUUUAUUAAUACUAGUAUAAUACUAGUAAUUACUUAUAUUUCUUAAUUAUCUAGUUCAUUGAUGAAGCGAAAAGGUCGAGUCUACAUUUUGAUAAUUUCUGAUAUAUUCCGCUUCGUCACAAACUCCGAUUAAACGGGAGACCAAUUUCCACUCCCUUCUGGCUUCAUCCCUCGCGCUGUUUACACAAAAACCUCAACUUUCGGACGGUUGAUCAUUGCUGUUUCGCAGCUCUCAGGGUCGACAUUCCACUUUACCGGGAACAAUCCCUUUGCCUCGAAAUAGCUUCAGCACGUUUCAGGGUCUGGUGAUACUCUCAUCCUCGGCCACUGCAGGAUGUAACCAUUCCCUCUUGAAGCGGUUGGAGAUUAAUGUCCUCCCGCCGGACAGUAGCCUACCCCACAAAGUUGCACUUGCAAAUCCAUCUCUAACACGGGAAAAAAAUAUUUCGAUACUUCUAGACGCCGGUCAUAAGCCAGGCUGACUUACGGGGGUGUUUGAGAAGUGCUCCAUAAAAUUGGGGAAUAUGUUUUGAAGACUGAGCUUGUCCGAGAAGGAUGGCCCUUCUCAUCGUGGCUGUGUGACAAAAAAUUGUUGACACAUUUAGUACGGAAGACGCUGGCACAGCAGCGGUGCUGCCAUCAACUGUGCCGAUAGUUUUGCACGACACUGUUUCGAAGAAUUCCCCCCUUUUCCGAGAACGGGGCAUCUCCUGAGAGGCUAAGCGUGGAGAGCGUGAUCAUUCUUCCGAGUCAUCCUUUUUGCAACACUUCUUCAGUUUGAUACAACCAGAAAAGCCUCUAGGCCGCCUUUUCCCGCAGCGAAACAUAUUUCUUAGGGCAUUGCUGAGCGGUUGAUUGGUUUCAAAAAGCGCAACAACAAGGAGAAGAUAUCAGUUCCACGACAUUGGUUACACGUUACGUUUGUGAAAAUGUUAUUGUCAAUUUUUGAUUCGGGAUGUAUUGCCUGCAGAAAUCAAGAAAAAGUAAAAUGCACUGACGCUUGAGUAACCGAUUGAUACUUGAUCAAACGAAUGAAAGUUGGAGAAAUUGGAUAUUAUUGACUAGGAACGGUCGUUGUGGGUGAUGUUCGGACAAUAAUAUGACGAACUGACAAGGAGCAAAUUAGGAAUCAGAAUGAAGAUCAGAUAUUAGUGUUUCAUUAUAUAUAUAGAUAUACAUUCAUGAGAGAGAACAAG